CUUUAAUGUCCACAUCACAUCCGCAUGGACAUAUAGUAAAUGUAAGGAGUGUGUUUUUCGCUACAAAAUCUAGAUUGGGCUAACACAAAUGAGGGGAGCAAACGUAGAGUCCUACAUGGUAAUGCCUCGCACUAUCAUUAUUAUCGAUUAGGCAGAAACAGGAUACAGCAAUGGAGUUUAAAAACAUGUGUGAGGACAUCAGCUACCAUUAUUCAUGCGAGUCAGUCAACAUUAUACCAUAACUUCCCCAUUCACAUACAGGAAAAUCAGGUUGG